rnacentral:rRNA from 1 species
CGAUGAGUAGGGCGGGACACGUGGUAUCCUGUCUGAAUAUGGGGGGCCCAUCCUCCAAGGCUAAAUACUCCUGACUGACCGAUAGUGAACCAGUACCGUGAGGGAAAGGCGAAAAGAACCCCGGCGAGGGGAGUGAAAAAGAACCUGAAACCGUGUACGUACAAGCAGUGGGAGCACGCUUAGGCGUGUGACUGCGUACCUUUUGUAUAAUGGGUCAGCGACUUAUAUUCUGUAGCAAGGUUAACCGAAUAGGGGAGCCGAAGGGAAACCGAGUCUUAACUGGGCGUUAAGUUGCAGGGUAUAGACCCGAAACCCGGUGAUCUAGCCAUGGGCAGGUUGAAGGUUGGGUAACACUAACUGGAGGACCGAACCGACUAAUGUUGAAAAAUUAGCGGAUGACUUGUGGCUGGGGGUGAAAGGCCAAUCAAACCGGGAGAUAGCUGGUUCUCCCCGAAAGCUAUUUAGGUAGCGCCUCGUGAAUUCAUCUCCGGGGGUAGAGCACUGUUUCGGCAAGGGGGUCAUCCCGACUUACCAACCCGAUGCAAACUGCGAAUACCGGAGAAUGUUAUCACGGGAGACACACGGCGGGUGCUAACGUCCGUCGUGAAGAGGGAAACAACCCAGACCGCCAGCUAAGGUCCCAAAGUCAUGGUUAAGUGGGAAACGAUGUGGGAAGGCCCAGACAGCCAGGAUGUUGGCUUAGAAGCAGCCAUCAUUUAAAGAAAGCGUAAUAGCUCACUGGUCGAGUCGGCCUGCGCGGAAGAUGUAACGGGGCUAAACCAU